AACGAACGCUGGCGGCAGGCCUAACACAUGCAAGUCGAGCGCGCCCUUCGGGGUGUGCGGCGGACGGGUGAGUAACGCGUGGGAACGUGCCCUUCUCUGCGGAAUAGCCUCGGGAAACUGAGAGUAAUACCGCAUACGCCCUUUGGGGGAAAGAUUUAUCGGAGCAGGAUCGGCCCGCGUUGGAUUCGGUAGUUGGUGGUGUAAUGGCCCACCAAGCCGACGAUCCAUAGCUGGUUUGAGAGGAUGAUCAGCCACACUGGGACUGAGACACGGCCCAGACUCCUACGGGAGUCAGCAGUGGGGAAUCUUAGACAAUGGGGGCAACCCUGAUCGAGCCAUGCCGCGUGAGAGAUGAAGGCCUUAGGGUUGUAAAGCUCUUUCAGCUGGGAAGAUAAUGACGGUACCAGCAGAAGAAGCCCCGGCUAACUCCGUG
rnacentral:rRNA from 1 species